AACGAACGCUGGCGGCAUGCCUAACACAUGCAAGUCGAACGAGACCUUCGGGUCUAGUGGCGCACGUGUGCGUAACGCGUGGGAACCUGCCCUUAGGUUCGGAAUAACUCCCCGAAAGGGGUGCUAAUACCGGAUAAUGUCUUCGGACCAAAGAUUUAUCGCCUUUGGAUGGGCCCGCGUUGGAUUAGCUAGUUGGUAGGGUAAAAGCCUACCAAGGCGACGAUCCAUAGCUGGUCUGAGAGGAUGAUCAGCCACACUGGGACUGAGACACGGCCCAGACUCCUACGGGAGGCAGCAGUGGGGAAUAUUGGACAAUGGGCGAAAGCCUGAACCAGCAAUGCCGCGUGAGUGAUGAAGGCCUUAGGGUUGUAAAGCUCUUUUACCCGGGAUGAUAAUGACAGUACCGGGAGAAUAAGCUCCGGCUAACUCCG
rnacentral:rRNA from 1 species